rnacentral:rRNA from 1 species
UACAGGGGGUGCAAACGUUGCUCGGAAUCAUUGGGCGUAAAGCGCACGUAGGCGGUUCGUUAUGUCGGAUGUGAAAGCCCUUGGCUUAACCGAGGAAGUGCAUCCGAAACUGGCGAGCUAGAGUACUAAAGAGGAUCGCGGAAUUCCCGGUGUAGAGGUAAAAUUCGUAGAUAUCGGGAGGAACACCGGUGGCGAAGGCGGCGAUCUGGGUAGAUACUGACGCUGAGGUGCGAAAGCGUGGGGGAGCAAACAGG